rnacentral:rRNA from 1 species
CAGUCGCGUCUGCUGGGACUCAGCCUUGCUUCUGCUUGGUGCACUUCUCAGUAGAUGGGCCAGCAUCAAUUUUGGGCGCCGGAAAAGGAUGAGAGGAAUGUGGCAGCUUGCUGUGUUAUAGCCUCUUGUUGUACACGGUGCCUGGGAUUGAGGACUGCAGCACGCCUUUGGUAGGGUUCGCCCCACUCCACGUGCUUAGGAUGCUGGCGUAAUGGCUUUAAACGACCCGUCUUGAAACACGGACCAAGGAGUCUAACAUGUAUGCGAGUGUU